CGUUAUGACGGCGUCGGUUUCUUAGAACCCAGAUGGGAGAGCAGGGAAAAGGAGAGAGAUCGGAGGGAGAAAGAGCAAAGAAAGCUACCGACUCUGACUCUCCUUCUCAAACGACGGCGUUUCAGGCACUCUUGUCGGCUUGUCGGUUACCCUUUUUCAUCUCUCGUUUCUGAGAAUUCUUCCUUGUAUACCCAAAGCCCAAUUUUCGAAUGGUUGCUUCUUCUGCGCCUUUGGCCACCUCUCAGAGUCUACUCUACGCCUAUCCUUCGAAGCCUGUACAAAAG
rnacentral:misc_RNA from 1 species